rnacentral:lncRNA from 1 species
GCAGGUUACACCACCCCCAACCUGGACCCCAUCCAAUAGGCUCGUGGUCCCUGAUGGUCCUGGACCACUGAUUUGAGGCCUUUCUGCUUCCUUUGAUUCAGUCUUUGGCAGAGACCCAGGAGCAGGAGUCCUUGAUGGCACCUGGCCCUUUCUAGUCACCGACAAGGGAAACCUGAGAAACCAUUCUCAGAAAUGGAACUAAAUUGACACAGCAUUUGUCUCCUCCAGAGGAUACAGCACCAAGGCGCCAUCUUGGAAGUAGACUGGAGCUCUUAGCAGACCAGAACCUGUGGGCAUAUUAUGAAUAUUCAGUGAAACAACGUGUGUGCUCACCAGGCAGGAAGAGCUCAGCAAAUGGUGGCUGGUCUGGAAAUUAUUGUCAUCACUAUAAUCCUCAUCGACAUCCUCAGCCUUAUUGUCAUCAUCAUCAACCUCAUCAGUGUCAUCAUCAGCCUCAUCAACGUCAUCAUCAGCCUCAUCACUGUCAUCAUCAGCCCUUUGUCAUCAUCAUCAUCCACCUUGCUGUUCUCUUCCUUGUUGACAUCAUUAUCCUCAUCCUCCUCAUCACCAUCAACAGCAUUAUUUUUAUUUUUUAUUCUUCCACCUGUAAGAGUUUCUUUUCCUCCCUCUUAUUGUUUUCCUCUUGGGAUGACUAGUGGUGAAGGAAGUGUCAGAGGCAAUGACCUCACAGCUGUCGUUGCCAUGGGUGACACCUCCCAGAAAGAGCUUAUUGGAACUUUCAGUCCAGGGGAGUUUCUGCUGUUCCAGGAUGGAGGAAAUGUUCAAGAACUGUGGAGCAUCUGAGAUUUUUUUCCUACUUUUGAUGUCCACCUAGUCAAAGUUCAGCCCUCCAGGAUCUACAGGUGACCAAGAGCCUGCUGUCUGGUUAUGGAAGGUCUCAGCUUUGGUUGUGUCAGUGAAUGAAGACCAGGACAGUCACAGUUGUAUGAGGAGGCUGGGGGCAUCCCUUACAGUCCCUUUGAGGGAGGUGCAGUCCUUGUAGCUGGAUGACCAUAGAGAACCAGCUUCUCUGCUGAACCAGGUUCCCAAAGACACAGCUGACAAGCCUCACCCUGAAAGGGGCUUCUUUGAGGGUUGAGAAGAACAAAGCGGGAGGAACUGUUUUGUCUUCGUGGCUGAAAAGAUUUGCAGCCCCAAAGGAGCAGCAAUGCACAGCUCAUCCGAGAAAGCAUAAACCGCUGAGAACAUUCUCCCCUUCCGAGGGUCCUUUGAAAAUGAACAAGCCCCAGUGUACCGGAAACACAGUGCAGACCCCUGGAUGCCACCUUGUAAACAGGGCCGGGGGCAUGUCCAGCUCUGCUCUACAACAAUCGCCCUGUGUUGUGGGGGAGUGUGGACAGACCCCAUGCUCCCGUUCACUGGAAGGCAAGCGAGAGUUAAGUUUCCUGGACUUCUUCUGAGCACCAUUAUCCGGGGGUAGCGGGCGUAGCCUCCAGAGCCUUGGCCUGUGCAGGUGUUUGCCCCGCACUUGACACUCCCCAACCGGGUGACGUCUCAGGUGUCCGAGGGGGAACUCCAUUCCUGCAGCCCCACCAGGCUCGCCGAAAGCCUGGGCACCAGCAUGCCUCGGGGAGGGCUGAGCCCCAGGCCCGGGAAGGGGUGCCUAGCUGACCCUGGCGUGUGUGUCCUCCUGGCUCACCUGGGGCACCCUGCCUCCCUGUUGGUGUUGUUCUGUCCAGCUCUGUGACCGCCCCACUCUCAACAAUGAGGCGGCCUGUGGUCCUCACUGGCCAAAUGGACUCUCCUCUGGGAGUUUGAAUCUGUAGCAGCCACCCAGAGAAGGAGGGUGGGUGGACUCCCAGGAGCUCCCAGCCCUCUGAAGCCCAGUUUCAUCAUGGACUAUCCAGUAUCCUCCCAACAUUUGCCUUAAGUUUCCACCAAGAAUCUUAAAUGGAACAGAAGAUUUGGGGCAAUGACAUCCACCAGGGUGUCUCUCAGAAACAUGCUGAUGGGACCAUGGAGGGCCUCAUGGAGGCGGGGUCUUUUCCUCUGGGCUCUGACAGAUAAAGGCAUUGAGAGGUGAAGUAGGGAGGGGGUAACGCUGCUGCCAGGUGGGAAGAUGGGGCCCCAGCAGUUGCUGGCUCCUCCGUGCAGUCCCCUGACCUCCUGCCAGAAGGGGGGCAAGGGGGGAGCCCUCCUGAGCCAGGGGCCAUGCUUGGUGUGUCUCCUUUGACUGAAGUCACAGGACUGUUCCACCCAGAACAGCAGGGUUGGGGGAGCCUGGGCACCAGCAUGUCUUGGGAGGGCUGAGCCCCAGGCCAGGGCAGGGGUGCCCCAUGUCACCAUCCCUCAGCCCAGCAUGGCAGACUGACCAUUUGCCUCAGUUUCUCUAAUGCCAUCUGCUCUUCACCUGAGUCAAGGGGAUAAACAAUUUAGAAAAACAAAGCCCCCGAAAAAUGCAAUCUCAGCAUUAGGCAUGGUGUUAUAAUAGAGACAGCAUACAAGAGACUGAAUUCUAGAAGCUGCAAUCAACAGGCCGACUCCCUCCCCAGGGGCAUCAGGGGCUGCCGGGGGUAUCUUGGGCCCACUUACGCACGGGCAUUUCAGGGGUCACAGGAGGUGAAAAAGCAGGCUUGGCUUCAGGUUUAAGGACCAAGAGAGACUCACCAUGCUGUUGCCCCAAAUGGUCACUUUCAAACCCACCAGUGUCCUCCAAAAAAGCUGCUUAUAUUUUUAAACACCAGGGUCAAAUGUUUUAACAAUAAAUUCUUGUCCCGCAGUGAAUAAUUUGCUUUAGUUUCUGUGGGAUUAGUAGUCAUGGAAAGCUAGAGCUUUCCUUGCCUGUACUAACUGUCACUUCUGAUGCACUAAGGACAGGAUUAGGUACAGCCAGAUGACAUUUAUAUACAACAAUUUUUCUGCUAAUAAAAUACCCUACAGAUUCUUAUGCAGCCCCAGCUUCACAUGUCAGAGACUGAAAAUAGCUCUAAUCCUGACUCUCCCUCCACCCCCAGAAUGAGAAGAGCAUCUUUUUAACCCCCAUUUAACAGUAGAGGAAGCCGAGGUUCAGAGAUGGCAGCAGGGAGAUCCCUGACUCCCAUGGCCAGCCGAACAGGGACUGAAACCCAGGUCUACCCUCGGGGAGGUGACAGGCACCCUCCCACCCUCCUCCCUCUUUCCUUUGAAGGUUCAGUUCCAGAUCUUGCCCUGGGUUGAAGCAAGAGAUAGUUAAAAAAAAAAAAAAAAAAAAGAGUAAGAUGAGGCCUCACCAUUCCCAGAACACACUUAGCUUACAUUUUCAGGUGUUGGAAGCCCCGGAGCCUCACAGGGGACCACGCCCACUGCCAGGAGCUGCAGCGAUUCCCCUUUUGUGGUCAGGGAGGCCGUGGAGCCCUGGGUGACCCUGUGACUUCCCAGGCUGCAGGUGGGAUUGAGCCAGGCACUGCGCACGCAGCACUGUGAGCCGCUGGCCCAGGCCAGGCUCCAGAGAUGGGAGCUCCGCGGGUUCACAGUCGUCUGUGACAGCAGAGCUGAGGGGAGGACGCAGACCCUGGCCUGACCUUGGGCUACCUCUCAGGGUUAGGCCACUGCCUCUGCUGCAGACCCAGGCGGCGCCCAAAGCCUGGGCGUCCCUCCGCUGCAGUGAAAGGGAAAAGAAAACCGGGCUGCGGUAAUGCCUGGAGCCAAAAUCUCAGGGAGAAGCCCAGCUCCCGACACCUACCCUCUUAAAGUGCAGUUGGAUUGAAUGAGGCUAAAGGAAGUAACAGGAACCCCGGCCUGGAGGAAGGAGCACGUGCUAUGGGCCUCAGAGGGUGGCAGAGGAGGUCUGCAGGGGCGAGAAUCUCGGACAGAGCCGAGGCACAGGUGAGCGGUGCCCGGCACAGCAGCCUGGUAGAUGGGAUCGGGGCGGACAGCGGGGGAGAGCGGAGAGGGGUCCGCCUGGGUUCACACCCCAACACCCACCAGGAGCCCCUGGGAACCAGUCAGGCCCCCAGCCCAAUCCCAGUUUCCCCAGGCCACUGCUGGAACAAAAAGCCUCACUGCAGACAAUGGGCCCUUUCUGUAGAUGCCCGCUCGGGGCUGGGCACAAUCGCCGAUUCAUAAGCCAGGCAAGGCCCCACAAUACCCAGGCUGUGUCCAAGAAGGACACCGACGGGAACUCGGAGAGGCCAGUGUCUUUGGUGGGGAAAGGCUGCUCCCUGGUGGUCCACAGGGGCAGUGCGCAUGACCAGGGCUCCCAGACUUCAGGCAAGGAUGAUGGCGGAGAGACACGGCUUAGAAGUCAUCCCACCAUAUGGACGGGGAAACUGAGGCCCAGAGACAUGCAGAGACUUGGCUCGGACUGUUUUCUUCAAUGUGAGAUAGGAUUUGAAGGGGGAAAGUGAAGGAGUUAUUUCACCUGAUGUGUUAAGUGCGGAGUGAGGUAGGUGGGAUUUAGAGGGGAAAGCGAAGAAGGAGUUAUUUCACUCAAAGUGCGGAGUGACGAAGAUGAAGGAACACGAGGUAGCCGGGCAGUGGGUGCUGAGUUGGCUGACACUGGCUUCCUUCCAGAGCGCAGGGGUGCAUCCUUCCGAACCUCGCAUUCAGUGACGUCACCUUGGUGAUUUGAAGUAGGCCCUGGUGGAAGUAUUUACACCAUGGACAUCAGCAAAUGCAACCAAGACCUCCCGCUACCCUGGAGAGCUGGGUUUAAGACAUUUGCCAGCACACCACUGCCCAGGGACCAGUCUCAGCUCCAGAGCUGUGGGUUAUUGGUAAAGGAUGUGAUUUCAUUGAGCCUCAGUUUCUGUAUCUGUAAAGCAGGAAUCUAUCACUUAUGAAAUAUCCUGUGCAGGCACAAUCUUAGGUGUGGAGGAUACAAUACAACGUAAGUAAGAUAAAAGUAUCCACCUGUGUGGAGCUUGUAUUUUGGUGGGGAGACAAACAAGGGAACUAUAAUGAUAUGUCAUGUCAUAAUACAUGCAAUGAUGACAAAGCCAGGUGAAAAGGCGAUGAUGGUCAUUAAGUUCAAGAUGGGGAGGGGUUGGGGUGAGGGCUGGCCUGUCUGAGGAGGGGCAUUUGCAGUGCUGGAGCAAGCCAUGGAGGACAGGAAUUGCUCCAGUCAGAGGAACAGCAAGGACAAGGGGCCCAAGACGGCAUGUACUAGAGGCUCCACGCAUAGAAAAAGCCAGCCAUCCCCAGCGCUGUAACUGAGUGGCCAGUGGUGGGAGGUGAGGUCACAGACGCGGAGGGGGCAUACAUGGGGUGAGCGUUUCAGUCUCAAAGUAUGGACAGCCCCAGGGGCUUUUGCAGAACAAAGUGAUAAGAUCUGAUUUGCCAUUUAAAAUAAUCCUUCUGAGUUCCUGUGGGGUAAAAGACUGGAGAGGAGGGUGUGUGAGGUGGGGCCAGGAGCCCAGGGAGCUAGGUCGGGGCCCCUCUGCUAAGUGAACAGGGGAGAACAGUGCCUUGUGGUUUCCUGACAUUUAAAGUGGAGGCUUUAAGGUACAUGGGUGCCUCACAUCUUCAGGCAUUCCAGACGCCGCUUCCUCCCGCUCCUGAUUGUACAAUAACCUUUACCCUCUGUGGGGUAUCAUUCUGUGUGCAUUCAUCCUCAUCUGGGUCAUGUCUCCCACUUACUUGGUGACGACCUGGGGCUUAGAGAUACUGUGGAGCCUGCUCAGGGGACACAGCCAGUGAGCAGACACUCAGUCUCUCAGGUUCCAGGCCAGUGGGGCGUGGUCUUGGAGGGUCUGGCUGGUCAGAGUCCCUAAUCAGCACCCAGCUCUGGGCUUCCUUUCCACACCUCCCAUGCCUCUCUCCAUGCAGCUCUUUCCCCAGCUACUGAGACCUUCUGGGCCCUUUCCCUCAUCACCGCUCCCUGCCUAGGACCCUUCCAACUUCCUCAAUUUCCAACAGGAGUGAAUAAUCAGGAGGCUUCCUCCUGGGGGAUGCCUUUACCUGGAUGGGCCUGCCUCAGGCUGUUCUACCUGAAUCCAUUAACUCCUGAACCAUAAACCACAAAUUCCCCAGGGCAGGAGUCGUGUUCAUCUCUGUGGACUUGAGGGUCUGGCCCUGAGUAGCGGCUUGCACGUGUUGUUAGCAAUAAUGACAGCUGGGCUUAUGAUGCAGGUACUGUGUCACGCAAGGUGCUGAGUGCUUUACCUGUGGUGUCUUAUUUGACCUUCACAAGCACCCUGAGAGGAAGUUAAGGAUAUUAUCCUUUUCAGCACUGGGUACGUUAUUUGUUGGGGACAAUGCAAGAUAAAAAUGUGGAGCCCCUUGUUAAAGAUUGUUAAGAAUUAUUAACAAAUUAUUUAAAAUUUAUUAAGAAUUUCAACAGCAGAGCAUUCAAGCAAGCAUGGGUCCAUCUAAGUAUGACUGUGCAGGUUGAAUGCCUAUGAAGUAAACUCUGUCCCCAUUUUAAGAUGAAGAAACUGAGGCUCAAGGAGGUUAAGUAAUGUCCCUGGGGGUCAUGCAACUAGGAAACAGCAAAGUUGAGAUCUGUGUUCUUUAUUACAGUCUUUGUAAUAGUUAAUUUUAUGCAUCAACUUGACUGGAUCACAGUGUGCCCAGAUAUUUGAUCAAACAUUAUUCUGAGUGUUUCCGUGACAAUGUUUUUGGAUACAAUCAACAUUUAUUUAAUUGGUUGAAGACCUGAAUAGAACAAAGAGUUCAAUUCUCUCAAGUAAGAGAAUUCCUCCUGUCUGACUACUUCAGAAUUGGGACAUUGGCUUUUUCCUGCCUCUACACUACAACUACACCAUCAAGCCUUCAGACAUGGAAAGGAACCACACUAUUGGCUCUCCUCGGUCUUCAGCUUGCCAACUCAAUGCAGAUCUUUGCAUUUGUCAGCCUUAUAACCAUGUGAGCUAAUUCCCUAAAAUAAAUGUCCUCAUUUAAAUGUAUUUCCUAUUGCUGUUUCUCUAGAGAACUCUAAUACAACCCCAUACAAAAGUACACCACACUAGAAGAAUUGGGUUAAAUCGAAUUACAAAAAAAAGAAGAAGAUUAAACUCAUAUGCUCAUAAUUUGGGACUUUCAUGUUUGUAAUUAUCUGCUAAAUUCC